rnacentral:lncRNA from 1 species
CAAACGCUGAACACUCAACAAUCCUUCCUAGAUCCUUCAGAGGCGGGGUCACCAGGCAAACCAUGGCCCCCCGAACCAGAGAGACAGACAGGUGAGUGCCGUGAACACAGUGCAGCUUCCAGAAUACACUGGAAGCAGUGCUGGGCAGUGCUGGUACAGGGACUGGACCAGAGAGAUUGCUGGAGCCUGAGAGAGAAGAACUACAGGGGACCCGGUUGCGGGGAUGGGUGGGGGCUUUUGUCAGUUUUAUCUCCAAGACCUCCCAGGUUUCCACAGUGAAAAGGAAAGAAAAAUCCCCCUCAAACUUGCUUCCAGCAGGGAGAUGAGAAAAGGAACCAUUUUGAAAGCUCCUCUUAACACACCCUGCCCUGGGGGAAACUAGUUAAGCACAGCUUAACCUGUGGGGAUUUUAUCUGAGUCUAACUGACCUAGGAAAAGGGAACUACCCAGUUCAGCCCAGUCUAGCCAUCUUGUCCCACCUAAGUGGGGAGGAAAAAAUGGAGAAACAUUUACGAAGUUCACAGCCCAGAGGCAUAGGCUCGCUGAAAGAUGGAGACCUAAUCACAGGACUAUAGAAUGUUCCCCUCACUCCGUGCGUCACAACCAUAUCACUAAAGACCUACUUAUAGCAAUUUCUUUUACCCAAUGAAUCAUACAGCUGUCAAGAAAAAAUUAAGGGCAUACUAAAAGACAAAACACAGUUUAAAGAGACAGAAUAGGGGUGCCUGGUUGGUUCAGUCGGUUAAGUGUCCGACUUCGGCUCAGGUCACGAUCUCACAGUUUGUGAGUUCAAGCCCCGCAUUGGGCUCUGUGCUGACAGUGUGAAGCCUGCUUGGGAUUCCCUCUCUCCCUCUCUCUCUCUAUCUCUGUCCCACACCCUGCCGGCUCAUGCUCUCUUUCUCUACCUCUCAAAAUAAACAUUAAAAAUUUUUUUGGGGGGCGCCUGGGUGGCUCAGUCGGUCAAGCGGCCGACUUCGGCUCAGGUCAUGUUCUCAUGGUCCGUGAGUUCGAGCCCCGCGUCGGGCUCUGUGCUGACUGCUCAGAGCCUGGAGCCUGUUUCAGAUUCUGUGUCUCCCUCUCUCUCUGACCCUCCCCCGUUCAUGCUCUGUCUCUCUCUGUCUCAAAAAUAAGAAUAAAAAAAACGUUAAAAAAAAUUAAAAAAAAAAUUUUUUUUGAACAUCUAUAAGUAAGAUGCUAACAACUCAAAAGAAUAGACACCAUCCAAGAACAGACAGACAACGUACAGAGAAAUGGAAAGUCUAAGAAAGAACCGAUAGAAAUGCUAACAAUCAAAAACACUAAUAGAAAUGAGGAAUGCCUUGGAUAGGUUUAUUAGUGGACUGGACACAGCUGGGGAAGGUAGGGAAUGUAGCCAAUGGUAUCGUAGCAGCGUUGUGUGGUGACAGAUGGCGGUUAUGUUAGUGGUGAGCACAGCAUAACGCAGAGUAUUCAAAUCACUGUGUUGUACACCUGAAACCAGUGUAACAUUGUGUGUCAGCUAUAUUUCAGUUUUAACAAUUAAAAGAAUUUGCUCGAGGAUAUCUCAGUAAAUUCUGGGGAGCAAACCAGUGUGACCCCAAAUCAGGCUAAUCAAUCGUCAACUCCACACGCUCCCAGAACAGCCACCACAGCCAGGGCAGCUAGGGCACAGCCAGGAGCACAUUCCUGACCCCGCACCUGCCCGGUACCCUGGAGGCCUCUCCUGGGGCCCAACCUUGGGGCUCUGGGGAAGGCCUCGCUUGUGGUCACGCUCUGGGGCUUUCCUCUGCAGGUGCCACCAUGGUGCUGGGUCAACAGGACAUCACAUGGAAGCAAAGGAGGAGUCCCCUUCCUGUUCCCCAUGUGGAUGGCCUCCUGGGGCCUGAAAGGAGAAAACCAGAACCCUCAAAGCAGCCACCGGUCUCCUCACGCCCGGGAGCAGACUGGCCAGGGUCCCAGGGCAGCCACACCACAGAACAAGAGUCCUCUUGGCCUUGAUACAGCGAGGGGUAGUAUGGUGGGUCCCGGCCCUCCUUUCCUUCCAAU